CACGUAGGGUGCGAGCGUUGUCCGGAAUUAUUGGGCGUAAAGAGCUCGUAGGCGGUGUGUCGCGUCGGCCGUGAAAACCUGCAGCUUAACUGUGGGCGUGCGGUCGAUACGGGCAUCACUGGAGUUCGGCAGGGGAGACUGGAAUUCCUGGUGUAGCGGUGAAAUGCGCAGAUAUCAGGAGGAACACCUGAGGUGAAGACGGGUUGCUGGGCCAACACUGACGCUGAUGCGCGAAAGCCAGGGGAGCAAACGGG
rnacentral:rRNA from 1 species